rnacentral:rRNA from 1 species
UACGUAGGGGGCAAGCGUUGUCCGGAAUCAUUGGGCGUAAAGCGCGUGUAGGCGGCUCGAUAAGUCUGCUGUGAAAGUCCAGGGCUCAACCCUGGGAUGCCGGUGGAUACUGUCGAGCUCGAGUCCGGAAGAGGCGAGUGGAAUUCCUGGUGUAGCGGUGAAAUGCGCAGAUAUCAGGAGGAACACCAAUGGCGAAGGCAGCUCGCUGGGCCGUAACUGACGCUGAGGAGCGAAAGCAUGGGGAGCGAACAGG